AGAUGUGAUAAUUUUGUCCCAAAGCUCCAAAAAGUCCCAGAAGAGUAAAAGAUAAUGGGUUGGGCUACAAAUAAGCCCCUCCCACCAAGGAACCGUUACCCCUUCGAAUAAACUAGCGAAAAUGUUGAAAAAACGAACAAAAUAUUCACACAAAGGUCUCGUUUAGGCGACUUUUCUUCGAAGUUUGACUGUAUCCUUUAACAGCGGACCGCUUUUUAUCUCGGAAUGGAAGGGAAAAGUACAAGAAAAAAAUAUUGAAACUGGAGGAAACAAACAAACAAACAAACAAACCCAUAGGUGGACGUAUCGCAGAUGGAUGCACAGCAGCAAUUCCCUGAGAUCCCUCUUGCGUCCACACGGUACAAGAAACACAUGCUUUUUUUGCACGCACACACCAGUGCAUGUGCAAUAAGUGUAGCUAACAUGUCGCCUGCAACGCUCUAUAAAUAGCCCCGAUUUUAUUUAGAUGUUGGAGAGAGACGGAGGGAAGAAAAAAAAAGAAAGAGAGAGAGGGCUCUCAAAUGAGUUGCCAUAGCAACAGGCAGGGGGCCCUGCUUGUGAAGGAGGGCAGGAAUGAAGGCAUGAUAGUGCUAAGUCUGCAGAAGAGCAGCCUAAGACGAAUCCGUGAUCGUAGACGGUGGAGUUUUCAUCAACGGAUCGGAUCAGAACCAACUCCUCCGCCCAUCCCCCUCCACCCUUUCCGCUUGCAGAUUCUUGCUGUUGGUCGUACAUCAGCACCCCCUGCAGUAAACAAAAGAUCGCCGCUAACUUUUGGGUCGUAAAAACACUCGAGUGUGUGUGUGAAGACGCCCAUCUGUGAUCAGGCUGGCGUGAUGGCGGGAUAACCACUCGUGGGAGCUUUCAUUACAAGCCAUGUAAACACCACGACAGCACUGGAGGAUUCUGGGUUAAUUUUCACUGAGGCCCUCUUGGACGUAGCGGUCAACAGAGCAAUCCUUUGGCUACAAUGGCAUCUUGAGAUAAUGGACCGCAACUCCAAGUUCUUAUCUAUCUCUCUAUUUAGGAGCUGUCGAGGUGGUAGACCGCUAUAAUGAGAAAAUACAUGUUAUGUUUGUUCUCCUAAGUGAUCAUAUUCAUUCACUGCUCCGAAAUUUGGGAGCUGUCAAAGUGGUAGAUUGUUAUGAACUAAUUGAGAAAAUCAACGCCAGUGUCUUAGAAACAAAGGUAUUUCAGGUAGUUUGGACAUAAUCUCCGAAUUUGUCGUAUUCAUCCAACACUUACAUUUUUGAGCUGUCGAGGUGGUAGACCGUUGUAGAAUAAAUGGGACAAUAAACGAGAGUAUUGAAUUCCUUUUUAUCUGAAUAUAACAAAUAUAGUUUGGGUAGUUUGGACAUAACAUCUGUUUUCAGCUAAACUCCUUAUUUUUAUCCAUCGCACAGAAGUGUGGGAGCUGUCGAAGUGGUAGACUAAAUAAGACAAUAAAUAUUGAUUGACUUUUUAAUCCUAGAAGCACAAAGAUAGUUUGUUUGGCUGUAAUGUCUGCUCUUAUCUUAACUCAUUAUAUUCAUCCACUGCUCUGAAGUUUGGGAGCUGUCAAAGUGGUAGACUGUUAAGGACUAAAUGAGAGAAAAAAACGCAAGUAUUGACUGACUUUUAAUCAGAAUAGAACAAAGAUAGUUUAGAUAGUUCGGACAUAGUGUCUGUCCCCGUCUAUAGAUGUUACAUUUAUCUACCACUCUGAAGUUUGGGAGCUGUCGUAGUGGUAGACCGCUAUAAAUGAAAUGAGACAAUAAAUGCAAAUAUGUACUGACUUUUUAUCCUAAAAGAAAAAAAAACAUAGUUUAGGUAGUUUGGACAUAAUAUUUCUUCUUCUCUGUACUUGUUGUUUUCUUUCACUGCUUUGAAUUUUGGAGCUGUCGAGGUAGUAGGCCGUCAUAAAUGAAAAAUUAAAUGCGAGCUUAACGAUUUAUCUGAGAGGAACAAAGAUAGUUUCGGUAGUUUGGACAUAACCCUCUGAAGUUUUUAUAUUUAUCUACCACUUUGAAGUUUGGGAGCUGUCGAAGUGGUAAACCGUUAGAGAAUCAUUAGACAAUAAAUGCAAAUAUGGACUGACUUUUUUACCCUAGUAGAACAAAGAUAGCUUAACUAGUUCCAACAAAACGUCUGUCCUAAUGUGAACUUGUCAUAUUCAUCCUCCGCUCUGAAGUUCGGGAGCUGUCGAAGUGGAUAAUCCCCCCUCACGGGUCGCUGGACGUGACUCACUCGUACAAAUCUAGCAACUCUCACGUGAGUGUAAAAAAAACAACAAAAAAAAAAAAAAAA